UGUGGGGUGUGGUGCUCUGUCCCUCCGGAGCACUGGGCUCUCCCUGAGGGACCCGGGGAGCCAGGGGUCAGGCCACACGGAACCUGGGCCG
ensembl:snoRNA